GUAGUUACCGAAAUCGCAAGUCUAUGCGCCGGCCGCACAGUGAGGCCCAUCAGUACUAAAACAUUAGCGUUUGGAACAGAGAAAGGUUUAUUACAGGUUCAUACAAGGAAAUGGGUGGAGAUUCAUGCCCUAAGAACCCCAAAGUUACCGAAAGCUUUCAGGAAGUCCCUUUAAAAGCAAAAGGUGACAGAUGGGUGUGGUUAGUUGUUGCAAAUUUCUCCGUGUCAGGUCCUUCAUUCUUGAGGUCUGGUCAUAGUCAGGUAAUGAUGAUCCUGUAAAUCUCUACCAGAUGAAUGGUAUUCUCUGUCCUGACUAGAAAGGGCAAGAUCCCAAAGCACAACUUUCACCCUCCAAGGUCCCAGUCCUGACUAAGAGGAGGCAGAUCUCAGUUGGCAGCUCCUUCAGGGCCAGGUUCCCACACCCUUCCCAGCUGUCAUCCCCGAGGGAACCAGACAUCCAACCCAACUGGUCCUCAGUCUCCUCAGGUCACCCAAACGGGGAGACCAGGUCUCACAGGUCAGGCAGACGGCCAUUGCUAUUAGGUCACAGAGAUAGGGAGAGGGAAGAGGUUCACUGCUCCUUAAGGCCUGGGCCAUGGCUAGUGGAGGGCCUUGGUGAGGGCUCUGGAGCCUUGCAGGACAUAGUCCCCAGUCUGUUCCCUGGGCCCUCCAGCUCACCUGCUGGCCCAAGGCUGAGUGAGCUGGAGGGUCUCCAGGAGAAGGCCUGAAUCGGCCUCUUACUUCAAGCUCCACCUGACGCCCAUCACACCAGUGACCUUUUCUUCAAUCACUUCUCCAGUGGUUCCUCAUUGACAGUUACUUGUGAGCAGGGUCCAUUGCGGUGCUGACCAAUAGCUUAGCAGGACGAGUAAUGGUUGUUCAUUGACAGUUAGUUGCUUGUGGGUGGGGCCAUCUGAGGCACCAAUCAAUGGCUAAGACCUGUUGCCUAGUAACAGGGUGUGGAGUAUCGAGACACAGCAAUGGCUGCCUGCGAAGGGCUCUGUUCAUCUUGCUUUAUUGCAGUAACAGUAAGAACAGUAGCAUGUCACAUCUGGACAAUGACUGACAUCAAGGAAGGAGAAGACAGAAAACCCAGAUAGCAGGCCCUGCCCUGAGCCCCACUCCAGGUUGCAAUGCUUGCUCCUAAUGAUGACAGUGGAUUGAAAUGAAAACAUCAAGUCAUGACCCUUGCUUCAAAAAACAAUCUCAUUGCCUUGAGUCAUGAUGGGCAGAGAAAAUACCCUGGACAGCUUGGGAUCUUCAUACGUGGAGAGAGAACUGAGAACAACUUCUGUAAAUAUAAUAUUAUAAAGUUAUUAAGGUUGUAAUAAAACAGAUUGAUUUAAAAAAGAAAAAGAUCCACGUACAUGUAUAUGAUCAGUUUAUUCAGAAUGAGAGGGAUUUUUUAAAAUCAUCAUCUUGGGAGACUGUAAUUCCUUCCAAAUACUAUCUAAAAUGCUUUCCAUUCCAUUUACAAACUGUGUUCACAACUUGUUCACACUCUCCUUCCUUUCUGGUUUCGGUUGGCUACAGCCCCACCACAUAAUGAUGUCUCCCAGCUUGAUCACAUACCUUGCUCACGAGGCUUACUUUCAAAUGACUCCAGUUGUUUCCAAAGAAUCAAAUGCACCCAUUUGAGGCUAUGGAGAACUUUUCAUAAAAAUCUACAGCAAGGCUCUAGGGACAGUUUUAAAAUACAGUGAGCUAUGGCAACAUGGUUUGAAGAACAUUUGCCAUUUGGAUGUAUAAGCUCUGAUUUGUUUGUUAA
ensembl:lncRNA